CACCGCCGUCGGAUUGAUCCGAUUUGCUCGCGAUUUGGACCCCGUUGAGGAGCUGAGGAGGAAUUUGAGAAGGAGAACUCGGAGGUGAAACCUGAGUAGAAGGACUUUUGGAAGAAGAAGAUAAUCCCGAGAGAGAUUUUGAGUAUGACCUGAAGGGAUUGAGAUUUCAUCUUCUUUCGUGAACUCCAAUUGAUGUGAAUAGUUAUGAAGUUCUUUAGUUGAUGUCAUGUAUAAAAGUUUGGUUAUAAAUUUCAAUAUGAAAAAUAUGACCCUGCUUUUCUA